GAUGACCCUGAACUUUUGAUCUCCCUCCCCCUCUGAGUGCUGGAAUGACCAGCUUGCACCAGCACACCCAGUUUAUCAGCACAAGGUGUGGAAUCCGGGCAUCAGGCAGGCAUGCUUGGCUGUCCAGCAGAUCAAAGGACACAAGAUACAACACCAGGAAAUAAGUCUGACCUGCGCAAGCAGCAAGCAGCAAGCAGCAAGAAGCACACAAGGCUGUGAUUUGCGACAUGCUAGAUGAGUUGGUUACCUGUUAUUCUUCCUGCUUUCCUCUUAAAGAUUGCUUGUAUCGUAUGCCUUCGUCUCAUUUUAAAAAGCUGCCUAUGAGCACAUACUGCAUAUCAGAUUUUCAUUGGAACUUGAAAAGCCACCCACAGACUUCUGUUUUCCCCGAUACUGCUUUUCACUGAACUUAUCACAUCAACAUUGCAUGAUAACAUCAUUUCCUGUCUUCUCCUGUGAAUACAGAAGCUUUGGGACAGCCAUGCUUUCAACAGAAUGAAAUCUCAUAAGUUAAAAUGAACAAUUGUUUGAUUUCUGUAAGUGAGCAGUAUCCACAGGCAACAAGAUGUGGACGCUUCAGGUAGAGAAUUUGCUCACGGAUAUCAAGUGCCUGCUACACAGUAGAUGCUCAAUAAAUGUUCGCUGGGUGAGGUCAAUUAACCAAGGAGCUGAACUUCAGUUCUCUAGUGACAUGUUGACAGUCCCGAGCAGUGCCAUGGGUGCUGUUGAGUAACCUUCCACAUGCACAGAGCUUCCCAGGAGCAAACCCUCCGCCUCACAGAUUAGAAGUUGCACGGAAAACGUUCUUUUUGUUUUGGUUUUUGAGACAGGGUUUUUCUGUGUAGCCCUGGCUGUCCUGGAGCUCGCUCUGUAGACCAGGCUGGCCUUGAACUCACAGAGACCUGCCUGCCACUGCCUCCCGAGUGCUGAGCAUGUGCCACCACUGGAAAACAUUCUGAUGAGCAAUGGCCAAAGUGACUGGCUGUUAUCUUACUUAUUACUGUUUACUGUAGACAUGUACAAGAUGGCUCUUAGAAUCACGACUCUUGUACCUGCUCCUUUCCCGCCUCGAAGUUUUCAUCCUCCUCUGUCCCAAGAUGCCAAAUGGCUGAUUUUCACUCGACUUUUUUCUUCACUCUAAUCCAGAGUUAUAUUUUUGUUU